rnacentral:rRNA from 1 species
GGUUAAGCGACUAAGCGUACACGGUGGAUGCCCUGGCAGUCAGAGGCGAUGAAGGACGUGCUAAUCUGCGAUAAGCGUCGGUAAGGUGAUAUGAACCGUUAUAACCGGCGAUUUCCGAAUGGGGAAACCCAGUGUGAUUCGUCACACUAUCAUUAACUGAAUCCAUAGGUUAAUGAGGCGAACCGGGGGAACUGAAACAUCUAAGUACCCCGAGGAAAAGAAAUCAACCGAGAUUCCCCCAGUAGCGGCGAGCGAACGGGGAGCAGCCCAGAGCCUGAAUCAGUGUGUGUGUUAGUGGAAGCGUCUGGAAAGGCGUGCGAUACAGGGUGACAGCCCCGUACACAAAAAUGCACAUAUUGUGAGCUCGAUGAGUAGGGCGGGACACGUGGUAUCCUGUCUGAAUAUGGGGGGACCAUCCUCCAAGGCUAAAUACUCCUGACUGACCGAUAGUGAACCAGUACCGUGAGGGAAAGGCGAAAAGAACCCCGGCGAGGGGAGUGAAAAAGAACCUGAAACCGUGUACGUACAAGCAGUGGGAGCACAGAGCAAUCUGUGUGACUGCGUACCUUUUGUAUAAUGGGUCAGCGACUUAUAUUCUGUAGCAAGGUUAACCGAAUAGGGGAGCCGAAGGGAAACCGAGUCUUAACUGGGCGUUAAGUUGCAGGGUAUAGACCCGAAACCCGGUGAUCUAGCCAUGGGCAGGUUGAAGGUUGGGUAACACUAACUGGAGGACCGAACCGACUAAUGUUGAAAAAUUAGCGGAUGACUUGUGGCUGGGGGUGAAAGGCCAAUCAAACCGGGAGAUAGCUGGUUCUCCCCGAAAGCUAUUUAGGUAGCGCCUCGUGAAUUCAUCUCCGGGGGUAGAGCACUGUUUCGGCAAGGGGGUCAUCCCGACUUACCAACCCGAUGCAAACUGCGAAUACCGGAGAAUGUUAUCACGGGAGACACACGGCGGGUGCUAACGUCCGUCGUGAAGAGGGAAACAACCCAGACCGCCAGCUAAGGUCCCAAAGUCAUGGUUAAGUGGGAAACGAUGUGGGAAGGCCCAGACAGCCAGGAUGUUGGCUUAGAAGCAGCCAUCAUUUAAAGAAAGCGUAAUAGCUCACUGGUCGAGUCGGCCUGCGCGGAAGAUGUAACGGGGCUAAACCAUGCACCGAAGCUGCGGCAGCGACACUAUGUGUUGUUGGGUAGGGGAGCGUUCUGUAAGCCUGUGAAGGUGUGCUGUGAGGCAUGCUGGAGGUAUCAGAAGUGCGAAUGCUGACAUAAGUAACGAUAAAGCGGGUGAAAAGCCCGCUCGCCGGAAGACCAAGGGUUCCUGUCCAACGUUAAUCGGGGCAGGGUGAGUCGACCCCUAAGGCGAGGCCGAAAGGCGUAGUCGAUGGGAAACAGGUUAAUAUUCCUGUACUUGGUGUUACUGCGAAGGGGGGACGGAGAAGGCUAUGUUGGCCGGGCGACGGUUGUCCCGGUUUAAGCGUGUAGGCUGGUUUUCCAGGCAAAUCCGGAAAAUCAAGGCUGAGGCGUGAUGACGAGGCACUACGGUGCUGAAGCAACAAAUGCCCUGCUUCCAGGAAAAGCCUCUAAGCAUCAGGUAACAUCAAAUCGUACCCCAAACCGACACAGGUGGUCAGGUAGAGAAUACCAAGGCGCUUGAGAGAACUCGGGUGAAGGAACUAGGCAAAAUGGUGCCGUAACUUCGGGAGAAGGCACGCUGAUAUGUAGGUGAAGUCCCUCGCGGAUGGAGCUGAAAUCAGUCGAAGAUACCAGCUGGCUGCAACUGUUUAUUAAAAACACAGCACUGUGCAAACACGAAAGUGGACGUAUACGGUGUGACGCCUGCCCGGUGCCGGAAGGUUAAUUGAUGGGGUUAGCGCAAGCGAAGCUCUUGAUCGAAGCCCCGGUAAACGGCGGCCGUAACUAUAACGGUCCUAAGGUAGCGAAAUUCCUUGUCGGGUAAGUUCCGACCUGCACGAAUGGCGUAAUGAUGGCCAGGCUGUCUCCACCCGAGACUCAGUGAAAUUGAACUCGCUGUGAAGAUGCAGUGUACCCGCGGCAAGACGGAAAGACCCCGUGAACCUUUACUAUAGCUUGACACUGAACAUUGAGCCUUGAUGUGUAGGAUAGGUGGGAGGCUUUGAAGUGUGGACGCCAGUCUGCAUGGAGCCGACCUUGAAAUACCACCCUUUAAUGUUUGAUGUUCUAACGUGGACCCGUAAUCCGGGUUGCGGACAGUGUCUGGUGGGUAGUUUGACUGGGGCGGUCUCCUCCUAAAGAGUAACGGAGGAGCACGAAGGUUGGCUAAUCCUGGUCGGACAUCAGGAGGUUAGUGCAAUGGCAUAAGCCAGCUUGACUGCGAGCGUGACGGCGCGAGCAGGUGCGAAAGCAGGUCAUAGUGAUCCGGUGGUUCUGAAUGGAAGGGCCAUCGCUCAACGGAUAAAAGGUACUCCGGGGAUAACAGGCUGAUACCGCCCAAGAGUUCAUAUCGACGGCGGUGUUUGGCACCUCGAUGUCGGCUCAUCACAUCCUGGGGCUGAAGUAGGUCCCAAGGGUAUGGCUGUUCGCCAUUUAAAGUGGUACGCGAGCUGGGUUUAGAACGUCGUGAGACAGUUCGGUCCCUAUCUGCCGUGGGCGCUGGAGAACUGAGGGGGGCUGCUCCUAGUACGAGAGGACCGGAGUGGACGCAUCACUGGUGUUCGGGUUGUCAUGCCAAUGGCACUGCCCGGUAGCUAAAUGCGGAAGAGAUAAGUGCUGAAAGCAUCUAAGCACGAAACUUGCCCCGAGAUGAGUUCUCCCUGACUCCUUGAGAGUCCUGAAGGAACGUUGAAGACGACGACGUUGAUAGGCCGGGUGUGUAAGCGCAGCGAUGCGUUGAGCUAACCGGUACUAAUGAACCGUGAGGCUUAACCUU